UACAGAGGGUGCGAGCGUUGUCCGGAAUCACUGGGCGUAAAGGGCGCGUAGGUGGUGGCCCAAGUCCGUGGUGAAAGCUCGAUGCUCAACAUCGAGUCGGCCACGGAUACUGGGUUGCUCGAGCACUGUAGGGGCAGAUGGAAUUCCGGGUGUAGCGGUGGAAUGCGUAGAGAUCCGGAAGAACACCGGUGGCGAAGGCGGCGACCUGGUCCUAUACUGACACUCAUACACGAAAGCGUGGGGAUCAAACAGG
rnacentral:rRNA from 1 species